GACGAACGCUGGCGGCGUGCCUAAUACAUGCAAGUCGAACGCUGAAGAGAGGAGCUUACUCUUCUUGGAUGAGUUGCGAACGGGUGAGUAACGCGUAGGUAACCUGCCUUGUAGCGGGGGAUAACUAUUGGAAACGAUAGCUAAUACCGCAUAACAAUGGAUGACACAUGUCAUUUAUUUGAAAGGGGCAAUUGCUCCACUACAAGAUGGACCUGCGUUGUAUUAGCUAGUAGGUGAGGUAAUGGCUCACCUAGGCGACGAUACAUAGCCGACCUGAGAGGGUGAUCGGCCACACUGGGACUGAGACACGGCCCAGACUCCUACGGGAGGCAGCAGUAGGGAAUCUUCGGCAAUGGGGGCAACCCUGACCGAGCAACGCCGCGUGAGUGAAGAAGGUUUUCGGAUCGUAAAGCUCUGUUGUAAGUCAAGAACGGGUGUGAGAGUGGAAAGUUCACACUGUGGCGGUAGCUUACCAGAAAGGGACGGCUAACUACGUG
rnacentral:rRNA from 1 species